CGAAUUUGUCUGUUUUAUUUUUUUUACUAUUAGUACUAACUGGUUGAUCGUCCGAGUUUGCAUGAAUGUUCGCCAACGUGCUUCUUGCCCAGCCGACCAACCAAGUGUCUCUCUAAGCAUGUUCUUCUGCCAGUACUCAAAACUGGGAAUGGGUGUUUGCAAGUGUUUGACAGACAUGGUUCCCCCCCUUUGCCUGCCCAUAGGUUCUAUGUCCUUUUCUCUGUAUUUCAGCUGUUUCAGUAAAAUGCAACCUCUAGAAAUUUGUG
rnacentral:misc_RNA from 1 species